ensembl:snRNA U6 U6 spliceosomal RNA
ACGGUACCCAGCAUAUAUACUAAAAUUGGGACGAUACAGAGAAGAUGAGCAUGGCUCCUGCACAAGGAUGACAGGCAAAUUCGUGAAGUGUUCUGUAUUUUU